rnacentral:rRNA from 1 species
UACGUAGGCAGCGAGCGUUGUUCGGAGUUACUGGGCGUAAAGGGUGUGUAGGCGGUUCUCUAAGUUUGGUGUGAAAUCUCCCGGCUCAACCGGGAGGGUGCGCCGAAAACUGGAGGGCUAGAGUGCGGGAAGGGAGAGUAGAAUUCCUGGUGUAGCGGUGAAAUGCGUAGAUAUCAGGAGGAAUACCGGUGGUGCAGACGGCUCUCUGGACCGCGACUGACGCUGAGGCGCGAAAGCGUGGGGAGCGAACAGG